AUUGAACGCUGGCGGCAUGCCUAACACAUGCAAGUCGAACGAGUGGCGGACUGGUGAGUAAUGUCUGGGAAACUGCCUGAUGGAGGGGGAUAACUACUGGAAACGGUAGCUAAUACCGCAUACCAUCAGAUGUUCCCCGAUGGGUUUAGCUAGUUGUUGGGGUAACGGCUCACCAAGGCGACGCUCCCUAGCUGGGCUGAGAGGAUGACAAGCCACACUGGAACUGAGAAACGGUCCAGAGUCCUACGGGAGGCAGCAGUGGGGAAUAUUGCACAAGGGGCGCAAGCCGGAUGCAGCCAUGACGCGUGUAUGAAGAAGGCCUUCGGGUUGUAAAGUACUUUCAGCGGGGAGGCGGGAGAGGAAGAAGAAGCAACGGCUAACUCCGUGCCAGCAGCCGCGGUAAUAG
rnacentral:rRNA from 1 species